ACGAACGCUGGCGGCGUGCUUAACACCUGCAAGUCGAACGGAAAGGCCCUGCUUUUGUGGGGUGCUCGAGUGGCGAACGGGUGAGUAACACGUGAGUAACCUGCCCUUGACUUUGGGAAAACUUCAGGAAACUGGGGCUAAUACCGGAUAGGAGCUCCUGCUGCAUGGUGGGGGUUGGAAAGUUUCGGCGGUUGGGGAUGGACUCGCGGCUUAUCAGCUUGUUGGUGGGGUAGUGGCUUACCAAGGCUUUGAGGGGUAGCCGGCCUGAGAGGGUGACCGGCCACAUUGGGACUGAGAUACGGCCCAGACUCCUACGGGAGGCAGCAGUGGGGAAUAUUGCACAAUGGGCGGAAGCCUGAUGCAGCAACGCCGCGUGCGGGAUGACGGCCUUCGGGUUGUAAACCGCUUUCGCCUGUGACGAAGCGUGAGUGACGGUAAUGGGUAAAGAAGCACCGGCUAACUACGUG
rnacentral:rRNA from 1 species